AGAGUUUGAUCAUGGCUCAGGACGAACGCUGGCGGCGUGCUUAACACAUGCAAGUCGAACGAUGAAGCCCUUCGGGGUGGAUUAGUGGCAAACGGGUGAGUAACACGUGGGCAAUCUGCCCUGCACUCUGGGACAAGCCCUGGAAACGGGGUCUAAUACCGGAUACUGAUCGCCUUGGGCAUCCUUGGUGAUCGAAAGCUCCGGCGGUGCAGGAUGAGCCCGCGGCCUAUCAGCUUGUUGGUGAGGUAAUGGCUCACCAAGGCGACGACGGGUAGCCGGCCUGAGAGGGCGACCGGCCACACUGGGACUGAGACACGGCCCAGACUCCUACGGGAGCCAGCAGUGGGGAAUAUUGCACAAUGGGCGAAAGCCUGAUGCAGCGACGCCGCGUGAGGGAUGACGGCCUUCGGGUUGUAAACCUCUUUCAGCAGGGAAGAAGCGAAAGUGACGGUACCUGCAGAAGAAGCGCCGGCUAACUACGUGCCAGCAGCCGCGGUAAUACGUAGGGCGCGAGCGUUGUCCGGAAUUAUUGGGCGUAAAGAGCUCGUAGGCGGCUUGUCGCGUCGGUUGUGAAAGCCCGGGGCUUAACCCCGGGUCUGCAGUCGAUACGGGCAGGCUAGAGUUCGGUAGGGGAGAUCGGAAUUCCUGGUGUAGCGGUGAAAUGCGCAGAUAUCAGGAGGAACACCGGUGGCGAAGGCGGAUCUCUGGGCCGAUACUGACGCUGAGGAGCGAAAGCGUGGGGAGCGGACAGGAUUAGAUACCCUGGUAGUCCACGCCGUAAACGGUGGGCACUAGGUGUGGGCGACAUUCCACGUCGUCCGUGCCGCAGCUAACGCAUUAAGUGCCCCGCCUGGGGAGUACGGCCGCAAGGCUAAAACUCAAAUGAAUUGACGG
rnacentral:rRNA from 1 species